GACGAACGCUGGCGGCGUGCUUAACACAUGCAAGUCGAACGGAAAGGCCCUGCUUUUGUGGGGUGCUCGAGUGGCGAACGGGUGAGUAACACGUGAGUAACCUGCCCUUGACUUUGGGAUAACUUCAGGAAACUGGGGCUAAUACCGGAUAGGAGCUCCUGCUGCAUGGUGGGGGUUGGAAAGUUUCGGCGGUUGGGGAUGGACUCGCGGCUUAUCAGCUUGUUGGUGGGGUAGUGGCUUACCAAGGCUUUGACGGGUAGCCGGCCUGAGAGGGUGACCGGCCACAUUAGGACUGGGAUACGGCCCAGACUCCUACGGGAGGCAGCAGUGGGGAAUAUUGCACAAUGGGCGGAAGCCUGAUGCAGCAACGCCGCGUGCGGGAUGACGGCCUUCGGGGUGUAAACCGCUUUCGCCUGUGACGAAGCGUGAGUGACGGUAAUGGGUAAAGAAGCACCGGCUAACUACGUG
rnacentral:rRNA from 1 species